AUAACUAAAAUAAACAAGCCCUUCGGUACUCCGUAUUGGUUUCUUCAUUCCUCAAUUUACCACAACAUUUUUGGUGACCACGAAGGGACCAGAGAGGGCAGGCUUACUGUCUCCUUUGCCUCUGGGGACUGGAGCGUGAGCCUCGGGAAACCUGUGGCCCCAGGUGCCACUGGGAGAACUUCAGCCCGGAGGGGAGAUCAGCUGUCUUUUCACCCAGUGCCCCCUACCCAGCAGUGCAAUAGAACCUAAAGAGGAGCUACAGGACAAUUUCAGAAACAGCGUGCUUCAGGAAGCACGUUUCAGGUGCUGUGUCUUGGAUCCACCACAGUCGGCUAAAACCGGCAGCUCAGGACAAGUGAACCAGCCAGCAGGACCCAGAUCAUCCAACCUGGCUGAUCCUGAGGCGAGACCAAGCUGCUGCUGAGGACAACAGCCCUGCUCUGGUCACUCCAGAGGCUGACCAGUCUAUGCAUGGCUGAAGCUUGAGGAAACAACAAGCCCUGCUCUAGUCACACACCAGAAGCUGACUAGUCUAUGCACGGCCAAAGCUUGAGGACUCAUCAAGCAAGUAAAUGCAGUUAGAAAUCUUAGGACUAGUAGUUUUACUGUAUACUAACUGUUUGACUGU
ensembl:lncRNA novel transcript